GAUGAAGAACGCAGCGAAAUGCGAUAAGUAAUGUGAAUUGCAGAAUUCAGUGAAUCAUCGAAUCUUUGAACGCAUAUUGCGCCCGCCAGUAUUCUGGCGGGCAUGCCUGUUCGAGCGUCAUUACAACCCUCAGGCCCCCGGGCCUGGCGUUGGGGAUCGGCGGAGCCCCCCGUGGGCACACGCCGUCCCCCAAAUGCAGUGGCGGUCCCGCCGCAGCUUCCAUCGCGUAGUAGCUAACACCUCGCGACUGGAGAGCGGCGCGGCCACGCCGUAAAACACCCAACUCUUCUGAAGUUGACCUCGAAUCAGGUAGGAAUACCCGCUGAACUUAAGCAUAUCAAUAAGCGGAGGA
rnacentral:misc_RNA from 1 species